rnacentral:rRNA from 1 species
UACGGAGGGAGCAAGCGUUACUCGGAAUUACUGGGCGUAAAGCGCGCGUAGGCGGCAGCGUGUGUCGGGCGUGAAAUCCCACGGCUCAACCGUGGAAGUGCACUCGAAACUGCGCAGCUGGAGUCUCGGAGAGGAAGGCGGAAUGCUUGGUGUAGAGGUGAAAUUCGUAGAUAUCAAGCGGAACACCGGUGGCGAAGGCGGCCUUCUGGACGAUGACUGACGCUGAAGCGCGAAAGCGUGGGGAGCAAACAGG